CCUUUCUCCCGCCGCCUCGCCUCCCCGCCCCGCCCCGCCGCUGUCAGCUCCCUCAGCGUCUGGCCGAGGCGCGGUGUAUGCUGAGCCGCUGCCGCAGCCGGCUGCUCCACGUCCUGGGCCUUAGCUUUCUGCUGCAGACCCGCCGGCCGAUUCUCCUCUGCCCUCCACGUCUCAUGAAGCCGCUGGUCGUGUUCGUCCUCGGCGGCCCCGGCGCCGGCAAGGGGACCCAGUGCGCCCGCAUCGUCGAGAAAUAUGGCUACACACACCUUUCUGCAGGAGAGCUGCUUCGUGAUGAAAGGAAGAACCCAGAUUCACAGUAUGGUGAACUUAUUGAAAAGUACGUUAAAGAAGGGAAGAUUGUACCAGUUGAGAUAACCAUCAGUUUAUUAAAGAGGGAAAUGGAUCAGACAAUGGCUGCCAAUGCUCAGAAGAAGAAAUUCUUGAUUGAUGGGUUUCCGAGAAAUCAAGACAACCUUCAAGGUUGGAACAAGACCAUGGAUGGGAAGGCAGAUGUAUCUUUCGUUCUGUUUUUUGACUGUAAUAAUGAGAUCUGUAUUGAACGAUGUCUUGAGAGGGGAAAGAGUAGUGGUAGGAGUGGUGACAACAGAGAGAGCUUGGAAAAGAGAAUUCAGACCUACCUUCAGUCAACAAAGCCAAUUAUUGACUUAUAUGAAGAAAUGGGGAAAGUCAAGAAAAUAGAUGCUUUUAAAUCUGUUGAUGAAGUUUUUGAUGAAGUUGUGCAGAUUUUCGACAAGGAAGGCUAAUUCUAAACCUGAAAGCAUCCUUGAAAUCAUGCUUGAAUAUUGCUUUGAUAGCUGCUAUCAUGACCCCUUUUUAAGGCAAUUUUAAUCUUUCAUAACUACACCUCAAUUAGUGGCUGGAAAGUACAUGGUAAAACAAAGUAAAUUUUUUAUGUUCUU